AUCGAACGCUGGCGGCAUGCCUAACACAUGCAAGUCGAGCGAGCGGCGGACGGGUGCGUACUGUAUGGGGACUGUCCGAAAGAUGGGGAUCACAACUGGAAACGGCAGCUAAUACCGCAUACUAUCGGAUACCCCCUAUGGGAUUAGCUGGUAGGUGAGGUAAUGGCUCACCAAGGCGACGAACCCUAGCCGGUCUGAGAGGAUGAUCAGCCACACUGGGACUGAGACACGGCCCAGACUCCUACGGAGGCAGCAGUGGGGAAUAUUGCACAAUGGGCGAAAGCCUGAUGCAGCCAUGCCGCGUGUAUGAAGAAGGCCCUAGGGUUGUAAAGUACUUUCAGUCGGGAGGCGUUACCGACAGAAGAAGCACCGGCUAACUCCGUGCCAGCAGCCGCGGUAAUUC
rnacentral:rRNA from 1 species